rfam:Ipomoea nil DNA, scaffold: scaffold0762, cultivar: Tokyo-kokei standard.
UCGACCUUAGCUCAGUUGGUAGAGCGGAGGACUGUAGUUUGAUUAAUCUAAAGUUGGAAAUCCUUAGGUCGCUGGUUCGAAUCCGGCAGGUCGGA